ensembl:lncRNA
AUGGGGUUCCUUCUAACUGGCAGAGACUCUGGGAUUGUCAUCUUCCAGAUGGGUGGAGGGAGGUGGGCAAGGCCAGCUGAGCCCCUGGGUGAGGCAGGAAAUGGAAGAGCAGACCACGGAUCCAGCCUGAUGCCCAUUUCAUCCAUGCCUGCUUUUGUCUGGAGCGCUCAGCAAGCAGGGGACAGAGGAAGGGAAAGAAGACCAAGACAGCAGCCAAGUUGCACAGCACAGAACAGCGCUCUGCUUGCAGAUACCCAGCCCGGAGUUCAAACCCCAGCUCAGCCACAUCUCUUGCUGUGUGAUCUUGGACAAACCGCCUACCUCCCCAAGCCUCGGAACUCUCAUUUAUAAAACCAGCAGCAAUCAGGAUCCUCAUUUCCAGUUACAGCAUGAAUGAGCCUUGCUCUCCUCGCAGCAACUGCAGACCUGGAAUUUCCCAGCACUGCAGAGCAAAACCAACCCACAGCCCAGGGCUCCAACUCAAAGGCUCUGAGUCUCCCCUCGCACGGUCUGGACGUGGGAGCCCUUUGAAAGAGGUCAAGGCCAAGUCCCUUUCCCUGUCUGUCAGGCAGAUACUGAGGGAGAGAGCUGACGGGCACCUCCCCCGCAGGUAAGGGCGUCUCACUCGCAGGUAAGGGCGGGCCUCCUGGAGCCAGACCUGCCGAGACUGACUGGCGCUGUCACCGCCCUGCUGUGGGACCCUGGGCACACUGCUUACCCUCUCUGGCCUCAGUUUCCCAGUUGAUAGAGUAGUUCUGGGAAGAGACAAGAGGGAAAUGGACAGAACAAUCUUCCUGGAAGUUGCUGGGCAAUCAUUUUUCCACGCUUGGGUCCGUGCAAGUGAGGGUCAGUCUAAGCGCUGCGUGCCUGUGUCGUGUGCCGCUGUGUGUGUGCAUGCACGUGUGCACACGGACACAAGUAAACGUACAGGCUGGUGUGUCCCCACCACGAAAGUGUCCAUCCAGGCCACGGCCCGGGCCGAGCAGGGCUCAGGGCAAAGGGUCUCCAAGGCCACUGUCCUCAGUGCUCAGGGCCCCUGUGGCCACCCGUGACUGACGUGAGAAAUUUAAGUAAGCUGUGAGCUGUGGCUCUGCAAGGCAGACCAGCUGCCUCAGAUACCUUCUCCUCCAGACAUCAGGCAGAGUUCGCUGUCGGCAGCCUGUCUGUCCCAGACCACAGGACAGCCACCUUGCUCUACCACCAGGGGCAUAUACAUUGUAUCCAUGUGAAUAGCACCCCCAGAGAUGUAGCCACCCCAUGGCAUCCUGAACUUUCACAUGUGGGUAUCUCAUCUCCCCAAUGUCCAUUAAGAUCCUAGAAACCCCAGAGAAAGGUCUCUACGUGGUCAGGAAGACACACAUGGUAAAUUUAUCACAAACCACAAAGUGCUGUGAGGGCUUCCAUUAGUUAUUCCUUUGGCUCCUCAAAACACCACCCUCCUUACAAGGUUCUCAUUCCCAUUUGACAGAUGAAGAAACUGAGACCCAGAGGAAUGAAAUAGAUGAUCCAGGACCCAGGUGGCUUGAUAAGGAGAUAUGAGUGCCAGGCUUGUGAUCGGAAGUAGAUUCAAGGACCAGAUACAGUUUAGGCAGGUGUGGGUAACGAUCCCAGAAUCCUAGACUGAACACAGCCACCACAGUGGGCAGUGCACCCCCUCUUAACUGUGGGCUUAGAGGCCAUCAAGACCCGGUUAUCGGGCUGAGGAAACCAACCAGAUUGUAUGCAGAUGCUCUCUGUACCUGGGAUGGAUCUUGGGAGGCCAUGGCACACAGGGCUUUCUUUCGGACAGACCAACACUGAGGCCUCAGGCCACAGGUACACCUCACCCGCCCCUCCCUGCCCUCGCUGCAUCAGGAGUCAGGACAAAGGUAAAUCCCCAGUGGGCAGGCGCUUUUGCAGCAAAAGCAGACUGGUGCAGGCUGGAUGGGGAGACUUCUGCCUGUAGAACUUUCCACUGGAAGCCUGAAAUGAGGAGCAAUUAUCUGAGAGCAGCUCUGGGGGCUGCACUUAAUAAGAAAAGUUGCGAUUGAUUGAAUCCCCACUAUGUGUUUGCACUUUAAAUCUGCUAUUUUCUUAUCAAACAGUCACUGCAGUCAGGCCCUGGUUGAGUAUCAGGGAGGCACGGCCCCUGCCCUCACUGAGCUCACCAUUUAAUGGGGAAGGCUAACCCCAAAGAGAGACUCACAUAAGAAGCAGUGACCAGGGAAGGCUUCUUGGAGGAGGUGACAUUGCACUCAGACUUUCUGAAGGAUGAGUAGGAAUAGCCAGGCAAAGAAGAGAAAAAGACUUCAGGCAGAGAGAACCUGAGGCAGGAGAGAGCAGGCACUGUGAUGGCUAUAAUUUUCACAACAGCUUUAUGAGAUGGGAACGGGUGUCCCAUUUUAUAAUUGAGGAAACCAAAACACUGAGAGGCUGAGUCAGCACAGACACCACAUAUCCAGCUGGGGUGCAGGACCCAGACCCUACACCACAUGCCACGCCUUUCCAAUCCCCAGAGCCCAGCUCCUGAGCCCGGAGGCUAAGAAGCAAAGGUGUGGAGGGAGAGGCCAGGUCUGUUCAUGCCUGCAGCCCACACGCAUGGAGGGCUCUUCUUUCAGGAGAAAUAAAGACCCAGAUGUACUCUCUUGCCA